CGUAGCGCACAGCUCAGUAGCACGUGGCUAACCUGCCCUUGGGACGGAAGAACCCCCGGGAAACUGGGGCUAAUUUCCGAUAGGUGAUGAUACCUGGAAUGGUUUUUUGCUCAAAGGACGCUUAGGGCAUGCUUCUAGGCGUUGCCCAAGGAUGGGGCCGCGGCCGAUCAGGUUGUUGGUGAGGUAACGGCUCACCAAGCCUUUAACCGGUGCGGGCCGUGGGAGCGGAAGCCCGGAGAUGGGCACUGAGACAAGGGCCCAGGCCCUACGGGGCGCAGCAGUCGCGAAAAUUUCGCAAUAAGCGAAAGCUUGACGGAGCUAUCCCGAGUGCCAUCCGCUGAGGAUGGCUUUUCCCUAGUAUAGAUAGCUGGGGGAAUAAGGAGAGGGCAAGUCUGGUGUCAGCCGCCGCGGUAAUACCAGCUCUCCGAGUGGUGGGGAUGAUUAUUGGGCCUAAAGCAUCCGUAGCCGGCUGGGCAAGUCCCCUGUUAAACCCAACGAUUUAAUCGUUGGUCUGCGGGGGAUACUGCUGGGCUAGGGGGCGAGAGAGUCCGUCGGUAUUCCCGGGGUAGGGGUGAAAUCCUAUAAUCCCGGGAGGACCACCAGUGGCGAAGGCUGUCGGCUAGAACGCGCCCGACGGUGAGGGAUGAAAGCUGGGGGAGCGAACCGGAUUAGAUACCCGGGUAGUCCCAGCUGUAAACGAUGCAGGCUAGGUGUUAGGGCGACCACGUGCCGCUCUAGUGCCGCAGGGAAGCUGUUAAGCCUGCCGCCUGGGGAACACGCCUGGAAGGCUGAAC
rnacentral:rRNA from 1 species